rnacentral:rRNA from 1 species
GACGAACGCUGGCGGCGUGCCUAAUACAUGCAAGUAGAACGCUGAAGAGAGGAGCUUGCUCUUCUUGGAUGAGUUGCGAACGGGUGAGUAACGCGUAGGUAACCUGCCUGGUAGCGGGGGAUAACUAUUGGAAACGAUAGCUAAUACCGCAUAACAACCGUUGUUGCAUGACAGCUGUUUAAAAGAUGCAAUUGCCUCACUACCAGAUGGACCUGCGUUGUAUUAGCUAGUUGGUGAGGUAACGGCUCACCAAGGCGAGGUUACAUAGCAGACAUGAGAGGGUGGUCGGCCACACUGGGACGGAGACCCGGCCCAGACUCCUACGGGAGGCAGCAGUAGGGAAUCUUCGGCAAUGGGGGGAACCCUGACCGAGAAACGCCGCGUGAGUGAAGAAGGUUGUCGGAUCGUAAAGCUCGGUUGUAAGAGAAGAACGGGUGUGAGAGUGGAAAGUUCACACUGUGACGGUAUCUUACCAGAAAGGGACGGCUAACUACGUG